UACAGAGGGUGCGAGCGUUAAUCGGAAUUACUGGGCGUAAAGCGUGCGUAGACGGUUACGUAAGUCGGGUGUGAAAGCCCCGGGCUCAACCUGGGAAUUGCAUUCGAGACUGCGUAGCUAGGGUGCGGAAGAGGGAAGCGGAAUUUCCGGUGUAGCGGUGAAAUGCGUAGAUAUCGGAAGGAACAUCAGUGGCGAAAGCGGCUUCCUGGUCCAGCACCGACGUUCAGGCACGAAAGCGUGGGGAGCAAACAGG
rnacentral:rRNA from 1 species